CCCGUGUGCCGGCCCGGGCCUGGCUGAGUCACAGCAGUUCUUCAGUGGCAAGCUUUACGUCCUGUCCCAGCUAAAGCUGCCAGUUGAAGAACUGUUGAACUCAGCCCCUGUCUGCCACGAGG
rnacentral:pre_miRNA from 1 species